AACGCACAUUGCGCCCUUUGGUAUUCCUUAGGGCACACCUGUUCGAGCGUCAUUACACCACUCAAGCCUAGCUUGGUAUUGGGCGCCGCGGCUCCUGUCGCGCGCCUCAAAGACGUCGGCCGAGUCGUCAAGUCUCUUAGCGUUGUGCAAACUCUCGCUGGUGAGGAUUGAUGGCCCGCGCCGUUAAACCUUUUUUUCAAGGUUGACCUCGGAUCAGGUGGGGAUACCCGCUGAACUUAA
rnacentral:misc_RNA from 1 species